AACGCCCCUCGUGUGGCGUGCAUCCUGUGAACUCCCCCAGGGCCGGAAGGCAGCAAGGGUAAGCGGGCUCUGGCGGGUGCACGGGGGGCCUUGCC
rnacentral:SRP_RNA from 1 species